rnacentral:rRNA from 1 species
UACGUAGGUGGCAAGCGUUGUCCGGAUUUACUGGGCGUAAAGAGCGCGCAGGCGGUCGUUCAAGUCGCGUGUGAAAGCCCCGGGCUUAACCUGGGAAUGGCCGUUGAAACUGGCGAACUGGAGUGUGGCAGAGGGGGGUGGAAUUCCGCGUGUAGCAGUGAAAUGCGUAGAGAUGCGGAGGAACACCGAUGGCGAAGGCAGCCCCCUGGGCUAACACUGACGCUCAGGCACGAAAGCGUGGGGAGCAAACAGG